GGCUGAUUUGAUAAGUUAGCACGCCUUGCUGCUUAUGCUUACUGGACUUCUAAUCAACCACUAGUCCCUCCCUUCCUGUCACGACAAACAAAUGCAACAAGGGGAGUACAAAAUGGCGUACAAUAUUAAAUGACACGUGACUAGCUAAAGUGCGCCUUAGAAUCGGAGAUCGCGCAUGGACGACAAAAGAAGAAGGUGAACGCACCUGAAACUUCAGUAAUGGGGGUCGUCGGUGAACUCGGUGAGCUGAGCAAGUAGAUGGGGAAGAAACCAAUGGAACAAUGGCCACCCCUGAUUACGGAGGUGACCCCCAAUUCCAAUGGAACAGUAGCUGUGGCGAACACUACUAGAUCUUAGAAGGAUAAAGAAUUAGGCAUGCAAGACCGAUUGGAGGGUAGUUUGGAGAAAUCCCCUGUUCUGGUGAAUGCACAAAGGAAGCUUGACUAUCUGCAGAUUCAGAUAAAAAAAGGUCGAAUCUUUUUGCUACAAAUUGUAUGUUUGCUAAAGGUAUGAACCUUAGCUAUAUGGCAUCAAUUAUGAAGAAUUGAGAAAAUGUCAUUGAACUCAACAAGCAGGAUGUUAAUCGCACAACAGAGGAAUAAAAAUAGGCCCCCAUUUUGUAUGCUGUAGGGAAGUCACCUACUAUAGCUACGAUUGAGCGAUACAUUGCCUUUCAGGUACCCGUUAUAGCCGCAAUAUCAUGAUCAUGCAAUUCACAAUUUUCAGGCAGCAGGUACCAGUUAUAGCCCACAAUAUCAUGGUCAGGCAGUUCGCAGUUUCCAGCCAAAAGGUGAUGAGUUCUCUUUAUUUAGGAUUCUAGUCAAUUUGUAGAUUCAAUAUUUUAUUUCUAUUCAUUUGUAUUGAUUAGGGAUAGCUGGGGGUUCAUGUCCCGUAUACCUAUGGUCAGUAUCGGUAUAGGUUUCAUAGACAGUUGGUCAGAGUUGAUGUAUUCAAUUUUAGUUUUCUUUUGUAUAACCAGAGUUUUAAGUUUUUAAUGAAUACUAUAUUGAAUAAGUUCAACUAAAGAAAUCGCUUUCGCUUAUUAUUUCUAGUUUUAUGUAUUUUAUUCAGUUACUCGUAAAUUAUGCCAAUAUCAUGGGUCAACUUGAGAUCACUUGUAGUUCUAAGCACUGUGUGACUUUCGGGGAAUAAUCUCAAAACGUUAUACAUUAUCACCCAGUUGCAGACCACAAAGAAUUGUACAACUUAGUUAUGCUGAUUACUUGAUGUUGUUUUUUAGGGGUGAUUUAAAAUCUGUGACUUGUUUGCAUUCAUGUUUUGGGAUGUUAUUUCAUGCUUCAAGGUUAGUAGCAAAUACUGGAAAGAGUAUUGUGUUCUUUAGUGGUGUCAACCAAGCUCUACAUGACUAAAUUCUGCAGGAACUUCACUUUGCAGAGGUGGCUUGCCUUUUAAAUACCUUGGGUUACCUCUGAGAACUAAGAGGUUAUCUGUGGUACAAUGCAAACUGCUUGUUGAAAAGAUGCUAAGUAGAAUAACAAGUUGGACAAGAAGUACAAUGCAAACCGCUUGUUGAAAAUAUGCUAAGUAGAAUGACAAGUUGGACAAUAAGAUUUCUGUCUUAAGCUAGAAGGGCUCAACAGAUCAAAAAUGUUUUGUUUGCAAUACAAAUUUUUUGGUCUCAAUUUUUUUGCUUACCUAAAAAGCUUAUACAUGUUAUAGAGGGUAUAUACAGGAGAUUCAUGUGGACAGGGAAUGCUGAAGCUUCCAAGAAAGCCUUGAUUGCUUGGGAAAAAUUAUGUUAUCCUAAAUCUAGUGGAGGAUUGAAUUUCUUGAACAUUUGCACCUGGAACAAAGCAGCUAUAGGUAAAUGGUUAUGGAACUUAUGUAAAAAGAAGGAUAAGCUUUGGGUGGAAUGGAUCCAUAUAUAGUAUGGACUGAAGAAGUAUGGGACAUUCAGGCUAAGCAGACUUCUUGAAUAGUACAAAAAAUCUUAAAAUCAUAUAAAUACUUUCAAGAGACUGGUUAUGAUGAGGAUGCAAUAUUGGCCAUGAAUAAGUACUCUAUAAAGAAGAUUUAUUUGUAGAUGAGAGGUGAUAUAGUCCAAGUAGAAUGGAAGAAGAUGAUAUGGUCUAAUUAUAGUGCACCAAAGUGGCUAUUCAUCUUAUACAUGACAAUGAAUAGAAGACUAGGCACCAAGUCUCGACUGGCAAAGUGGGGCUUAAUGGACAAUGUUACCUGCCCUUUAUGUCAAGAUAAGGAUAAGGACAUAGAGCACAUAUUUUUGAGUGUGCAUUUGCUGUAAGUGUAUGGAAUCAACUGCUGCAUUGGUAAGCAAUUAACGAAACUUGUAUGAAGUGGCACAUUGAGAUACAAUGGACAUUACAGUAUAUGAAGGCACAUGUAGUACUACACAGGUUUAAUGAAAUUAGCUAGUGCUAUUUAUUCAAUAUGGCUGGAACGCAAUGCAAGGGUGUUUCAACUCAAGCAAAGACCAAUCUGUAUCAUUGUAAGACAAGUUAUGCACAAUGUGCAUAGCAGAGGAGUCCAUCAAUCCAAAUUGGAUCAUAAACUACUUGGUCGUAAUAUGUUGCCUUAGAUAGAGUAGUUAGAUAAAGGAUAGCUAUCUUUAUCUUGAGUAAGCUAUGGGGAUGUUUUGUUCAUGACUGCUGAUCUUUCUUGCUUUGUAAUGAUCACUUGGUAAAUAAAAUGUUUACUUGUCAAAA